UUAAAACUUUAUUGGACAGACAGCCGAGGGGGGGGGAUCCUUGAGAAAGAUAAACCUCAUGUAUAUGGUAUGUUCUCCCCACAAAACAGUAUUGCUGUCAUUAUCAAAUGCAGCACCAAGAUUUGAAAUGAUUUUAUACAAGAUUAAUA